rnacentral:rRNA from 1 species
UACGAAGGGGGCUAGCGUUGCUCGGAUUGACUGGGCGUAAAGGGCGCGUAGGCGGUUCGUACAGUCAGACGUGAAAUUCCUGGGCUCAACCUGGGGGCUGCGUUUGAUACGUGCGGACUUGAGUGCGGAAGAGGGUCGUGGAAUUCCCAGUGUAGAGGUGAAAUUCGUAGAUAUUGGGAAGAACACCGGUGGCGAAGGCGGCGACCUGGUCCGAUACUG